rnacentral:sRNA from 1 species
UGAGCGAAGCGAGAGAACGUUGCCGCAGGCAACGGCCCGAAGGCGAGGCGCUUUAGCGCCGAGUAAUCCUUCCCCCACCACUG